UACAGAGGUGGCAAGCGUUGUUCGGAAUUACUGGGCGUAAAGGGCGCGUAGGCGGCCUUCUAAGUCAGGCGUGAAAUCCCCCGGCUUAACCUGGGAACUGCGUCUGAUACUGGGAGGCUUGAGUAUGGGAGAGGGAUGUAGAAUUCCAGGUGUAGCGGUGAAAUGCGUAGAUAUCUGGAGGAAUACCGGUGGCGAAGGCGGCAUCCUGGACCAUUACUGACGCUGAGGCGCGAAAGCUAGGGGAGCAAACGGG
rnacentral:rRNA from 1 species